rnacentral:sRNA from 1 species
CCGCGGUAUUACAGGUGGUAAUGGCAUACUAGCUGACGAUUAUGAUAUUGCACGUUUCUUCUCUGAUGCAGAAGCGAUUUACACGUACGAAGGUACACAUGAAAUUAAUGCCUUAGUAAUUGGACGCGCUUUGACUGGAGAUUC